ACGAUGAAGAGUUUGAUCCUGGCUCAGGAUGAACGCUGGCGGCGUGCCUAAUACAUGCAAGUCGAACGCAGUCCAUUAGGACUGAGUGGCGAACGGGUGAGUAAAAGAUAAGGAACCUGGCUUCUGAAGGGGGAUAGCGUCUGGAAACGGACGGUAAGACCGCGUAGGCAAUAUGGACGCAUGUCGAUAUUGUUAGAUAUGCUAUGGCAUAGACAGGAGAUGGACUUAUCACGCAUUAGCUGGUUGGCGGGGUAAAGGCCCACCAAGGCGACGAUGCGUAGCCGGCCUGAGAGGGCGGACGGCCACACUGGGACUGAGACACGGCCCAGACUCCUACGGGAGGCAGCAGUAGGGAAUUUUCGGCAAUGG
rnacentral:ncRNA from 1 species